rnacentral:lncRNA from 1 species
GGAGAGUUCCUACACCUUUAAGAAGUGGUGAAGGGGAGAGCACCACGUGAGCAAGGGACUGUUCCUGAAGAAGGCGACCUCCAUGCUGGUCACUGCACAGAGGGCCCACCAUGGAGCCUGGGAGAGGCGGUGGCAGCAGGGUGUCAUCCCCUCCCUCCAGAUGAUCUUCAGUUACCUGUAGCUGCUGCAUGAUGAGACGGAUUAUUAUGUGGAGGUGAGUGAGCCUGGAGGUGGGGCCGUGGGAUCAGGCUCCUGAGGGUUUGGGAGGAGAGAGGCCUGCCUGAGCCCUGAGCUCUCACACUUGGAAAGGUCCUCUCUGCAGAGCCUCCCAGCCUCCUGUGGAAGCCAGGGCAUCAGGCCCAUCUCAGCAAUGAGUGAUGGGAGGCUCUGCCUAGGCCGCCAUCCAGGCUCCCUGGGCUGCUGAGGAUCAGAGCUGCCUGGCUGUGUAGCCACAGGAGGUGGUGUCUGAGCUGGACUCAGCCUCUCCUUCUGGCCCUGCCCAUGAGGGAAGAGAAGUCGGGCCCCUCCAAGUCAGGAAGCACAUCAGUGGCUGAGCUGUCCCUUCCUGCCUGAGGCCUCAGUCUCCCCAUCUGUCAUCAGAGAGGGUUAGAUUACAAGGUCUCAGCUCCUCUGCCCCAAGGUCUGGAGCCCAGAGCCUGGCCCAGGUCCAAGUCCGGCCUCUGGAAGGGCCUGCCCACUGGCAGCAGUGCAACACUGGAAGAGGUGGGAUGGGGGCUAGUUCUGGGCUAAGGGGGCUGUUUCUGAUUUCCAGGGCAAUGUGCUCAGCUGUUGGAAUGAGGUAAGCAUCUGCGGCCUCACUGUGGUGAGAGUGGGUGUGUGGGAAUCAGAGAGACCCCCUUUCAUAAGAAGCGCUCUAGCUCGAUCCCUGGGGUCGGACAUUUAUUUGCAGAGUUCGAUAUACAGAGCUGGGGAUCCUAUGGCGUUGGCGGGUGGGGAAAGGGCUGGCAUCAAGGACCCCUUCCUGGUAGAGGAUCUAUUUCGGGCCAACUGUGAGAACAGGCACGUCCUGACUGGAAUUGCAGGGAAGGAGAGUUCUCAAGUUGGCAAAGGCCCCACACUGGCUCCUUGUCCCCCUCCUCACCCCCUCCAAGAGCCCUGCAGGGUCCCCCCCAGGCCAUGUCUCCAUCUUGUCCUUCCUCUGUCCCAGGAAUUCAAAUUCAUCAAGGACAUCAAGCUGGUACAGAAGGCUGCAAAUCUGUACACCAUGCAGCCCGAUGAGCACUUUGGGGCCUGGUUGAAGGCCGUGGAGCCCCUGAGCGAGGAGGCGAGCUACAGCCUGUCCUGUCAGCUGGAGCCACGAUACCAGUGGACCAGAAAGAUUCCACUCUUCUUCAAAGACAAGAAGAGCCACUCAUCUUCCCGCCCUGGGCUGAACACCAGGCACCCAAAAAAGAGCCCAGCGGUGGUGGUAGAUGACGCUCCUUAGACCAGCUGAACUACAGCAGGGACACAGCGGGGACACUCAGGUUCAUGGGGCCACCUCUCAGAUGCUGAUGUGAAUGAAAACUUUGUGAUCCAUUUCGUGGGGUCCCUGAAGGCCACAAGGGAGUGGACGAUCCCCCAAUCUCCCUCACACGUUUUCCCCAGCGCCUAUUUCCCUCUUUGGAGGGGCCAUGCUUUUGUUGUCAAUGAUAAAUGCUAAGUUUGGGUAUUCUAUUAAAUUUCUGUUUUUUUCUCAGCCUGGGAGUGGACAUGUGGUUCUUUCGCUCUCUGUGUUCAUGGAAAUGAGAUCCAGAAUCUCACAUUCCUCCUUGAAUUCAGAAACCAUGCAGAGUCGUCAGC